rnacentral:rRNA from 1 species
UACGUAGGGUGCAAGCGUUAAUCGGAAUUACUGGGCGUAAAGCGUGCGCAGGCGGUUCUAUAAGACAGAUGUGAAAUCCCCGGGCUCAACCUGGGAACUGCAUUUGUGACUGUAGAGCUGGAGUGCGGCAGAGGGGGAUGGAAUUCCGCGUGUAGCAGUGAAAUGCGUAGAUAUGCGGAGGAUCACCGAUGGCGAAGGCAAUCCCCUGGGCCUGCACUGACGCUCAUGCACGAAAGCGUGGGGAGCAAACAGG